rnacentral:lncRNA from 1 species
AUAUUUUUCUCAUCACUUUGCCACUUUCCACUACUAUAUUGAAAUUUUUAUAACAUUGGAAUUGUAAUACAUCAUCAUUUGAAACCAUCUUUAAUAUCAUAUUGUGUAUAACCAUACUAUAAUAAGGUUUUCUUAGUUGUUUUCGGUUGCCCCCACUGAAAGAAAUUUCUGGCUCCGUCCCUGCAAGUAAGUUGAUAGAGUAUGUAUUCGUCCCUAGCUGUGAUCUCUUUUAAUAUUAACUAAUAACAACUUCCUAAGCAUAUGAUAAAAGAAGAAAAAGUAGGAAGUGGAAAGGAGAGAAAUUUGAAAUGUAAUUACUAACUCUCUUGGUUUUUAAACAAAUAUUAAAACUCUU